AGUAAUAGUCAAAACCAAUACUCUUUUUUACCGAACUAGAACGUUGGAAUCUCUUCUUCUGAUUCUCCCGGGGAAGCCGGUUGUUACAGUAGUAGGGGGACCCUUCAGUCCAAUUCACUACCUCUCUUUCUCAACAACAACAUUAAUCAAAGAUCGAUAUCUUCGUCUUCUUCUUCAUCUUCUCCAAUGGACAGUCAGAGCAUUUCCUUUUUUAUGUCUCCGCCUCUACACAACCAUAGUCAUGAUCAGCUUCCAGAGGCUUUUGAUGGCCGGUUAUAUCUCUAUUACGGUGAAGGAAACCGGAGCUCCGACGAUAAAGGAAAGGAGAGAAGAUAGUACAGCAAAAAUGUUUCAUUAACUCCAUCUUGGUUAUUAGUACUUUCUAUCUAUUUUACAAUGUCAAUUUUUUUAAGAAAUGGAUUAGUUAAUGUAGUAAUAGUACCAUGUUGUUUGCUUUGGGUUCUUGAUCUUGUAAAAGAAAGAUGGUUUAUUGGGGCGUGGGUGGCAUUGAGUCUUAUCUUUAUUUGUGUGUCUUGAAGUAAAUGACAUUUCUAAGAUUACUAAUAUGAUGGCAUGUGGAUGUAGGGCUUUCAUCGUCUGUGUUUGUCUCCUCAUGUGUUCCAUGUUGGGUUCCCUUCUUACUCAGCAUUCACUUUGUUCCACUUGUUGUACUUUCUUGUUUCACCACGUAUUGUCACAAUUAAUUUAACCAAAUUGACUGAUUGUUGCUUUUUGAUGUAUCUGUUUGAUUCAAUAUCAUACUCCCUCCGUUUUUUAAUAUAAGUCGUUUUAGAGAAGUUUUUAUGUUUCGAUGUUUUCAGUUUUCUAAUAAAAUUUAUUAACAUUUAAUGUUAUAUAACCAAUGAUAAUAUACUUUUUAUUUUAUUAUUGGUUGAUUUGUAGUUAGGUAAAUAAUUAAUGAUGUUUUUGUUUAAAAAUAAAAAAAUUAAUUUACGUGCACAAUUCUAAGAAGUCUUAUAUUAAAAAACCGAAGGAGUAUAUAAUAGGAGUAUUCACCUAACCUCUCACCAAUCAUGCAAAGCGAGUUUCCAAUUGAACUCGUAUGGAGGCAGGACUGUGGGAGUUUCUUGUGAGACCGAAGAAGGCAAUUGUACAAGAGUGCAUGUACAAUUGCCUUCUUCGGUCUUUCUCAAACAGGUAAAUAAUACUUUCUCUCUCUAGCAUCUCCCUCCGAUUCCCAUUUUCGCCAUUUUUCUUUCACUUUCUUGGCUGAUUUUCCCCGAAAAAAAAAGAAAAACAUUAUAAACCCUCACCACAAACUCCCCUGAAAACGAAUACUUGAUGCUAUAUUAAAUGACCCUUUUGAUUUAAAUAUUUCAGAUCUGUGUAUCUUCUUCUUCUUAAACCACUACGCUUAUGAUGAGGAGAUCUGAGUUAUAGAAGAAUCAUACCAAAGACUGGGAGAAAAAAGCUAAUGAAAAGAAUCUGAGAAGGAAAUUUCAUUUAUAAACCAUCUUCGCAGCCAUUGUUGUCCGACAGUGAGCUUGGACAGUUGACACCUGUAAUCCAAGUGAGUUUCUCUUGUUGGUGAUUUUUGAGGCAAAACCCUUUCUCUCUUUUAUUUUCUUUUUAGGAUUAAAUCUAUGCUUUAUUUAUUGUAUCUAUAUUGUUAACUUCUGUGAUUGUUCCAUUUUUAGGGCAAGCUUUUAGCUUCUUGAACAAAAAAAAUCAUUACUCAGGUAGUCAGGUUCUUCAACUAAAAAAAAAUAUAUUUGUUAUUCUUCAACUAAAAAAACUUAUGACCAAAGCUAAUAAUCUUUGGAAGUAUUUUUUUUUUAUCAAACAAUAAUAAUUUAGGGUUUCUGAAAAGGCUCUUGCAGCUAUGAAGCUAUACAUAUACUAUGAAACUGAAAUGCUACGAACAUGAAUAGGUUUUGCAGAUCUACAUAUUAGUAUAAAUUAAUUAAUUAGCUGACAUUAAUCUUUUUAUAUAUAUUCAGUAUUUCAAUAGCAAUGACUUUAAUUUCUUCUUCCUCUUUCUUUUUACAGAUUCCUAUCACUGCAACAUACUCAGUCUUUUUUGGCCCUAUCGUCAUAGCUCUGCAACUGUUUCUCUUCAGAGAGAGAGAGUAGUGAAGGCUUAAUUACUAUCUUACUUGAAAAGCAUGAGAGUAGUGUUUCAAUGGAAGACGACGACGACAUUGAGACACAACAACAAACAAGCAGAAAGCUACAGAGACUCUCCUCCGACAAAACUGAAAUGAGGGACUGGAGCAAUCCAUCGUCUCGGAUCAUUAGGGUUUCACGAGCUACCGGUGGCAAAGACCGACACAGCAAAGUCUUAACAUCAAAAGGGUUAAGAGAUCGGAGGAUACGUCUCUCCGUCGCUACAGCGAUCCAGUUCUACGACCUCCAAGACCGUCUCGGGUUCGAUCAGCCGAGCAAAGCCGUUGAGUGGCUUAUCAACGCGGCUUCUGACUCAAUCUCCGAUUUGAAUCCGAUCGAUACGAACUUCGAACAGACGCUUUCGCUGUCUAAGUCGAGCACGUCUGAGAGCUCGUUGUUGUCUUUGUCGAGGACAGAGAGUCGUGGCAAAGCGAGGGAGAGAACAGCUAAAGACAAAGACUUGCAAAGCUCCUUCACUCAGCUUCUCACACGCGGUUUUGACGAACCGAACCGGAGUUGGACCGGUGGUGGUUCUUCUGAUUGUUUCAACCCGGUUCAGCUCAUACCGAGCUCCUUGAAUCAUCGUCAAGAGCCGUCGUUGAAUCAUAGUAAUAGUCAAAACCAAUACUCUUUUUUACCGAACUAGAACGUUGGAAUCUCUUCUUCUGAUUCUCCCGGGGAAGCCGGUUGUUACAGUAGUAGGGGGACCCUUCAGUCCAAUUCACUACCUCUCUUUCUCAACAACAACAUUAAUCAAAGAUCGAUAUCUUCGUCUUCUUCUUCAUCUUCUCCAAUGGACAGUCAGAGCAUUUCCUUUUUUAUGUCUCCGCCUCUACACAACCAUAGUCAUGA
rnacentral:lncRNA from 1 species